GACGAACGCUGGCGGCGUGCUUAACACAUGCAAGUCGAACGGAAAGGCCCUGCUUUUGUGGGGUGCUCGAGUGGCGAACGGGUGAGUAACACGUGAGUAACCUGCCCUUGACUUUGGGAUAACUUCAGGAAACUGGGGCUAAUACCGGAUAGGAGCUCCUGCUGCAUGGUGGGGGUUGGAAAGUUUCGGCGGUUGGGGAUGGACUCGCGGCUUAUCAGCUUGUUGGUGGGGUAGUGGCUUACCAAGGCUUUGACGGGUAGCCGGCCUGAGAGGGUGACCGGCCACAUUGGGACUGAGAUACGGCCCAGACUCCUACGGGAGGCAGCAGUGGGGAAUAUUGCACAAUGGGCGGAAGCUUGAUGCAGCAACGCCGCGUGCGGGAUGACGGCCUUCGGGUUGUAAACCGCUUCCGCCUGUGACGAAGCGUGAGUGACGGUAAUGGGUAAAGAAGCACCGGCUAACUACGUG
rnacentral:rRNA from 1 species